AUUGAACGCUGGCGGCAGGCCUAACACAUGCAAGUCGAACGAGUGGCGGACGGGUGAGUAAUGCCUAGGAAUCUGCCUGGUAGUGGGGGAUAACGUCCGGAAACGGGCGCUAAUACCGCAUACUAUCAGAUGAGCCUAGGUCGGAUUAGCUAGUUGGUGGGGUAAAGGCCUACCAAGGCGACGAUCCGUAACUGGUCUGAGAGGAUGAUCAGUCACACUGGAACUGAGACACGGUCCAGACUCCUACGGGAGGCAGCAGUGGGGAAUAUUGCACAAUGGGCGCAAGCCUGAUGCAGCCAUGCCGCGUGUAUGAAGAAGGCCUUCGGGUUGUAAAGUACUUUCAGCGGGGAGGCGUUACCCGCAGAAGAAGCACCGGCUAACUCCGUGCCAGCAGCCGCGGUAAUUC
rnacentral:rRNA from 1 species